UACGGAAGGGGCUAGCGUUGUUCGGAAUCAUUGGGCGUAAAGGGCGCGUAGGUGGUCUUGUGUGUCUUCCGUGAAAGCCCACGGCUCAACCGUGGUGUGUCGGGAGAAACUGCAGGACUUGAGGCUGGGAGGGGCUGGUGGAAUUCCCUGUGUAGCGGUGAAAUGCGUAGAGAUGGGGGAGAACACUCGUGGCGAAGGCGGCCAGCUAGACCAGUUCUGACACUGAGGCGCGACAGCGUGGGGAGCAAACAGG
rnacentral:rRNA from 1 species